GGAUCCAGACUUUGAUUCUGGCUCAUGAUGAACGCUAGCUACAGGCUUAACACAUGCAAGUCGAGGGGAAACGAUAUCGAAAGCUUGCUUUUGAUGGGCGUCGACCGGCGCACGGGUGAGUAACGCGUAUCCAACCUGCCCACCACUUGGGGAUAACCUUGCGAAAGUAAGACUAAUACCCAAUGACGUCUCUAGAAGACAUCUGAAGGAGAUUAAAGAUUUAUCGGUGAUGGAUGGGGAUGCGUCUGAUUAGCUUGUUGGCGGGGUAACGGCCCACCAAGGCGACGAUCAGUAGGGGUUCUGAGAGGAAGGUCCCCCACAUUGGAACUGAGACACGGUCCAAACUCCUACGGGAGGCAGCAGUGAGGAAUAUUGGUCAAUGGGCGAGAGCCUGAACCAGCCAAGUAGCGUGCAGGAUGACGGCCCUAUGGGUUGUAAACUGCUUUUAUAAGGGAAUAAAGUGAGUCUCGUGAGACUUUUUGCAUGUACCUUAUGAAUAAGGACCGGCUAAUUCCGUGCCAGCAGCCGCGGUAAUACGGAAGGUCCGGGCGUUAUCCGGAUUUAUUGGGUUUAAAGGGAGCGUAGGCCGGAGAUUAAGCGUGUUGUGAAAUGUAGACGCUCAACGUCUGCACUGCAGCGCGAACUGGUUUCCUUGAGUACGCACAAAGUGGGCGGAAUUCGUGGUGUAGCGGUGAAAUGCUUAGAUAUCACGAAGAACUCCGAUUGCGAAGGCAGCUCACUGGAGCGCAACUGACGCUGAAGCUCGAAAGUGCGGGUAUCGAACGGGAUUAGAUACCCUGGUAGUCCGCACGGUAAACGAUGGAUGCCCGCUGUUGGUCUGAAUAGGUCAGCGGCCAAGCGAAAGCAUUAAGCAUCCCACCUGGGGAGUACGCCGGCAACGGUGCAACU
rnacentral:rRNA from 2 species